GUCAGCGGCAUCUCUAUCAUCAUGGCGGACAUAGAAUGGCCAUGGCAAUACCAGUUUCCUCCUUUCUUCACAAUUCAGCCCAACAUUGAAACUCGGAAGAAACAAAUUGAAGCUUGGUGUUCCCUUGUCUUGUCCUACACCCGCCAGCAGAAAACCUACAGCAUUGACGUGAGAGAGUCACAGAACUCGCCACUGUUUAACAACAAAGCCAUCAACCGCAAGCUGUCUAUGGAUUGUAUCCUGACUGUGCUGGAAGAACUUAGAAAAACAGGACACUUGGAAUGGACCGAUAACAAGACAAAGAAACAAUGUCUUGUAAUGUGGAGAACACCAGAGGAAUGGGGAAAGCUUAUAUACAGCUGGAUCUGUAGUCGCAGUAUGAACAACACGGUGUGUACACUUUUUGAACUGACUGAAGGAGAGGAAUCUGAAGGAACUGAGUUCCAUGGACUGGAGAAUUGGUUACUUCUACGCGCCCUCAAAUCACUGGAAAGUCAAGAACUUGCUGAACUGAUGUCGUUUGAUGGCAGCGACGGUGUCAAGUUUUUCUGAGAUCAGACAUGUCAUAGACUUUCGGCCCGAGCAGGGAUCACAAAUCGGACAUGCUGUAGACAUUCGGCCUGAGCAGGGAUCACAAAUUCGACAUGUCAUAGACUUUCGGCCCAAGCAGGGAUCACAAAUCGGACAUGUGAAAAACAUUUUUCAGCAGAAUGUGAUCAAUCUGGAACAUGUGAAAUUGUUUUAUUUUCAGAAAAUAUUAUUUGUAAAUCGAAAGGAAGUUUUAUUACCGGGCCGUAAUGGAGAGGAUAUGAAGAUUCUACCUGCAGAGUUUUUGUACUCCCUUUGUUGGGUGUUUUAUUGAAAUAUAAAAGCAAGACUCUCUCAUUGUGAUAAUGAAGUUGCAAUGGGAAUGAAACAGUGAUCCGGAAACAAGAGUUCUGACGUCCUAGUUUACAACUGACGUCCAAAGGUUUAUAAACUGUUAUGUAGAGCAGAUGUGAAUAUUAGUCUACACAAAUUAAGAAAUCAGUAACAUGUAAGAAAGUUAAACACAUUGUACAAUCUCAUAGAAUUUGUAUUUGUGUUUAUAAUACACAUAUCUACAGUAUUGUGUUCAUGAUGAUCUGCAAUGAAUACACCCGUCAUAAUUUGUGUAUGAUGUCAUGCGCUAACACUUACUGUGACGUCAUAACCAAGACAAUAAAUAUGACGUAAUGACAUUGUGACAUUGCAUUAAAGACAAUAUAAAUGAAUUCAAAAUAACAACAUUGAUACAAGUAUAUUAGGAUAAGAGAAAAAGUGCUUUUUACAAACAUUAACAUUCAAACCUGUAUCAAGAGACCACUGAUAGGAAGUCCAUAAAGUGGUAUCUUAAUGCAAGUUACAGUCAUAAUGAAAUCACUAAAGAGGAACCUGAAAAGUGGCCACCAAAUACAGGUGGUCUCUUCAUACAGGUGGUCUCUUCAUACAGGUGGCCUCUUAAUGCAGGUGCCUCUUAAUGCAGGUGGUCUCUUCAUACAGGUGGCUUCUUCAUGCAGGUGGCCUCUUCAUACAGGUGGCCUCUUAAUGCAGGUGGCCUCUUAAUGCAGGUGGUCUCUUCAUGCAGGUGGCCUCUUAAUGCAGGUGGCCUCUUAAUGCAGGUGGUCUCUUAAUACAGGUGGUCUUUUCAUAUAGGUUCAAUUCACAAUAAAAUCAAUUAAACAUUAAAAGUGGCUUCCUAACACAGGUACCUAAUGGAGAUGGUCACAUGAAAAGAUUUGACUGUACAUAUAUUCUUGGUCAUAUGAAGAAAAUGAUGAAUAUGAAGGUGUUUUUUUUAGAUUGUAAAAAAAAAUGUCGAAACUCAUUCCAUAAAUUCUGUUGAAGCUCCGAUAUUCAUAAUCUUCUGCAGAUAGAAAUUUCCUAUUGGUACUGUUUACAUGUGUGUAUCGUGUAUGGAUACCAUUUAUCCUACUUUUUCUGUUCUGAACCUAUUCAGUAUACCUAUAUGCACACUUUUAUCUCAUCAAGGGAGUAAAACUUGUCUAGUCUGACCUCUGAGUAUUCUGACAUCCUGUAUCAUCCAAUGUAAUACUGUUAUCCCAUUUAUAACAAAUAUCUCCAUAUAAAACCUGUGUAUUUCAAUCACUCAAAUAAACAUUGACGUCUUGUUUGACAUGUAAAACAGAAAGUUACAUUAUCUCCUACUCCCAGUGACAAUGUGUGGGUACAUGUAUAUCAUCAGUAGGUGACCUCUUAACAGAAGCAACAUCAAAGAUUGUGUCUUCUGGUCUAGCUGUUUAUUCAAGAUUUCUGUGGGGAAAAUGACGUGCUCUUAAUGUUAAAACCUCAGUGAAAUCAUUUUAAAUAAUUUAUUUUAAAUUGAAAGGCAUUUUUUUCACGAGUAUUGCUUUAUACUGAGUAACUGUGCAAAAGUUUUAAAACUGUAAUUAUGUGUGAAACGAUGUUCUGUGUCUAAAUUAUUACGGAAGUGUAUGGCCUAGAAUUGUACAUAAAAUAAGAUACAUUUUGUGUAUUGUGUUUCGUAAUACGAUACAUUUUGUGUAUUGUGAAAUGUUCUAUAAAUCAUGCUUAUAUAUAUAUAUGUUGUGUAUGUACUAAAAAUUGUACAUAUAUCUGUAUAAUAAUCUUUAAAGUGUCUAUAGCUAGGAAUAGUACAGAAACUUUCACAGUGAAACCUGACUUUACUGACACCUGACUUUAAGGACAGCCUGCAGUAAUAUACAGUAAAACUUGACUUUGCUGGCACCUGACUAUAAGGACAUUCUGUAAUAUACAGUAAAACUUGACCUUGCUGGCACCUGACUUUAAGGACAGCCUGUAAUAUACAGUAAAACCUGACUUUACUGACACCUGACUGUAAGGAAAUUCUGUAAUAUACAGUAAAACUUGACCUUGCUGGCACCUGACUUAAGGACAUCCUGUAAUAUACAGUAAAACCUGACUUUACUGGCACCUGACUUUAAGGACAUCUUGUAAUAUACAUUACGACCAGACUUUACUUGCAUGUGACUUUACUGACACCUGACUUAGACAUGUUUAACAUCUAAUGUGAUUUUAUGGCCUUAAAUAAUUGGUUCUCGGUCUAUAAUGCAGAUUUUACAGAAAGGUUUUUAAACCAAAUGAUUAAAACUUGUUGCUGGUAAAGACAGGUUUCAUUGUGUAAGUUUGGAAUGUUUUCAGAUAGUGCAGAUAUCAUUUUGCCAUUUUGUAGUAAUGGUUACAUGUACAAUGUCAUCUGUGUUACUAUGGUUACAAUGUCAUCUGUGUUACUAUGGUUACAAUGUCAUCUGUGUUACUAUGGUUACCAUAUCAUCUGUGUUACUAUGGUAACAAUAACAUCUGUGUAACUAUGGUUACCGUGUCAUGGUUUAUCACAGCUGUACCAUUUGACCUUGAUAAUGGUUACCAUGACAGCAUUUGUUACAUGGUGUUACCAUGGUUACAAUAUCAUAGGUGCCAUAAUGCUGAUCAUGUCUUUAGUUGUUAUAAAAAAAAAUCAGAUUCUGGUACCAAUACCUAAAAUGAAUUCAAUAAAUUAAAGAAAUAUUAAAGAC